UACGGGGGGGGCAAGCGUUGUUCGGAAUUACUGGGCGUAAAGGGCUCGUAGGUGGCCAACUAAGUCGGACGUGAAAUCCCUCAGCUUAACUGGGGAACUGCGUCCGAUACUGGAUGGCUCGAGUUUGGGAGAGGGAUGCGGAAUUCCAGGUGUAGCGGUGAAAUGCGUAGAUAUCGGGAAGAACACCCGUGGCGAAGGCGGCUCUCUGGGACGGUACUGACGCUGAGACGCGAAAGCGUGGGGAGCAAACAGG
rnacentral:rRNA from 1 species